rnacentral:rRNA from 1 species
UACGUAGGGUGCGAGCGUUGUCCGGAAUUAUUGGGCGUAAAGAGCUCGUAGGCGGUUUGUUGCGUCGACUGUGAAAACCUGGGGCUUAACUCUGGGCUUGCAGUCGAUACGGGCAGACUUGAGUUCGGUAGGGGAGACUGGAAUUCCUGGUGUAGCGGUGAAAAUGCGCAGAUAUCAGGAGGAACACCGGUGGCGAAGGCGGCUCACUGCCCGGUACUGACGCUGAGGUGCGAAGCGUGGGAGCAAACAGGAUAGAA